rnacentral:rRNA from 1 species
UACGGAGGAUCCAAGCGUUAUCCGGAAUCACUGGGUUUAAAGGGUGCGUAGGAGGGCAGGUAAGUCAGUGGUGAAAUCUCCAAGCUUAACUUGGAACUGCCGUUGAUACUAUCUGUCUUGAAUAUUUGUGGAGGUGAGCGGAAUAUGUCAUGUAGCGGUGAAAUGCUUAGAUAUGACAUAGAACACCAAUUGCGAAAGGCAGCUCGCUACUCAAUUAUUGACUCUGAGGCACGAAAGCGUGGGGAUCAAACAGG